rnacentral:rRNA from 1 species
GAUCCUGGCUCAGGAUGAACGCUAGCUACAGGCUUAACACAUGCAAGUCGAGGGGAAACGACAUCGAAAGCUUGCUUCCGAUGGGCGUCGACCGGCGCACGGGUGAGUAACGCGUAUCCAACCUGCCCACCGACUUGGGGAUAACCUUGCGAAAGUAAGACUAAUACCCAAUGAUAUCUCUAGAAGACAUCUGAAAGAGAUUAAAGAUUUAUCGGUGAUGGAUGGGGAUGCGU